CUGCCCUGCCUGGUCCUUGUGCUGCAGGCUUUACAUUUUAUCAUUCCAGGAACUGGGCCUCACCACCGCCAGCCCCUCCAUGGCACAUCUGCUUUCUGUCUGCCCAGAACAGAGUUUCUACCCAGCCGCCUGCAAAAAUAUCUCAAGGCAUAGCGUGCAUUGAGACCCAGCUCUUACCUUUCAGAGUCCAGCGUCUCCUAAGGGUCUUCCUGACGUCCUAAAUCUCCACCCAAGUCUCUACCACAAGAUGCUUGAUGGUGCUGUGAAGAGGAGACUCCAUGGUUGUGAACCAAGGCAUGGGCAGAGAUGAACCAAAGGAUGCAAGGCCUUCAUAAAGCAGAAUCUCCACGGUGACCUACGGAAAAGAAUUCUUCGCAACACAGGAAGGAUACACCGGAAACUAAGGAGAUUGAUUAGUUACUCUAGGAGGUGGAGGUGAGAAAAGGGUGGACAGGAUCAAGGAAUGAAACUGGAGAUGAGGGAGGAGCAGCACUUCUCUGAGGAUUAUCUGUGUGUAUAGCUUUAACGUUUAGAACCAUGGCGAUAUUUUACAUACCCAAAAUUAAAUAAAUAAUCGAAAUCAACCAGGAUAUGCGGGCAGGGGACUGAAAAUGGGGGAUAAGCAGUAACACAUUAACCUAACUGUAUAAUCAAUUACUGACAUAACCACACUGAGGCGGAUAGGCAAUGAAAGAACUAACCUAAGUAACUUUGUAAAAUGGUACUUUGACUG